rnacentral:rRNA from 1 species
AUUGAACGCUGGCGGCAUGCUUUACACAUGCAAGUCGAACGGUAACAGCACUUCGGUGGCUGACGCGUGGCGCACGGGUGAGUAAUACAUCGGAACGUGCCUAGUAGUUGGGGAUAACUACUCGAAAGAGUAGCUAAUACCGCAUGAGAUCUAAGGAUGAAAGCAGGGGACCUUCGGGCCUUGCGCUACUAGAGCGGCUGAUGGCAGAUUAGGUAGUUGGUGGGAUAAAAGCUUACCAAGCCGACGAUCUGUAGCUGAUCUGAGAGGACGACCAGCCACACUGGGACUGAGACACGGCCCAGACUACUACGGGAGGCAGCAGUGGGGAAUUUUGGACAAUGGGCGAAAGCCUGAUCCAGCAAUGCCGCGUGCAGGAUGAAGGCCUUCGGGUUGUAAACUGCUUUUGUACGGAACGAACAGCCCUCUUCUAAUACAGGAGGGUCAUGACGGUACCGUAAGAAUAAGCACCGGCUAACUACGUG